rnacentral:rRNA from 1 species
CCUACGGGUGACAGCAGUGGGGGAUAUUGCACAAUGGGGGAAACCCUGAUGCAGCGACGCCGCGUGGGUGAAGAAGUAUUUCGGUAUGUAAAGCCCUAUCAGCAGGGAAGAAAGAAGACGGUACCUGACUAAGAAGCCCCGGCUAACUACGUGCCAGCAGCCGCGGUAAUACGUAGGGGGCGAGCGUUAUACGGAUUCACUGGGUGUAAAGGGAGCGUAGACGGCCGUGCAAGCCAGGAGUGAAAGCCCGGGGCCCAACCCCGGGACUGCGCUUGGAACUGUGCGGCUGGAGUGCGGGAGGGGCAGGCGGAAUUCCUGGUGUAGCGGUGAAAUGCGUAGAUAUCAGGAGGAACACCGGCGGCGAAGGCGGCCUGCUGGACCGCGACUGACGUUGAGGCUCGAAAGCGUGGGGAGCGAACAGGAUUAGAUACCCUUGUAGUC